rnacentral:rRNA from 1 species
UACGUAGGGGGCAAGCGUUGUCCGGAAUCAUUGGGCGUAAAGAGCGCGUAGGCGGCCCUGUAAGUCCGCUGUGAAAGUCAAGGGCUCAACCCUUGGAUGCCGGUGGAUACUGCAGGGCUAGAGUCCGGAAGAGGCGAGUGGAAUUCCGGGUGUAGCGGUGGAAUGCGUAGAGAUCCGGAAGAACACCGGAGGCGAAGGCGGCUUGCUGGGCAUUGACUGACGCUGAGGCGCGAAAGCGUGGGGAGCAAACAGG